rnacentral:misc_RNA from 1 species
GGCCAAACUUGUCAGUAAAUAACUUCUGUCGAUCCCAUUUCUCCUUUUCUAGCAUCUGCCCUUUUUUCCCCCUUUGAAUUCCAAAGAAAAUUACCAACUAUAGUACUUCUUCGAUCUACUUCUUGAUGUCCCAAGUCUUAAUCCGAAGCUAGCAAAGCAAAUCUGAUUCUGAAAUACGAAAUCUUGACAAUAAUCAUUUCAUGCCUUAGCUGGUGAGGCGUGUUACAACCAUUUGGUAUAUAAUUAAUCUGUUUUCCAAAGGUGGAUCGAAGGCAUGGAAAGAGGCCACUUCCAUCGGAAGCACCAGAGGAGAAAGAGAAGGAACACGAUGACUUCCCUUCUUAUUCAUCUUCUUGGUCAGAAACGGACAUGUCUGCCAUGGUUUCAGCUCUCUCUCAAGUCAUCGCUACAACCACCGGAGAUAACCCAACUAUGGUGCAAUCAACCCCACUAGCCGCAGAGCAAUCCAUUGUCAAAGAGGAACCUGGCCAGCCUCAACCCACCCAAGAUCAAGAUAAUACAAGGAGAAGACACUAUAGAGGAGUAAGACAAAGACCUUGGGGCAAAUGGGCAGCAGAAAUACGUGAUCCUAAGAAGGCAGCACGAGUCUGGCUCGGUACUUUUGACACCGCCGAGGACGCAGCCCUUGCAUAUGACAAAGCAGCUCUCAAGUUCAAAGGCACCAAGGCUAAGCUUAAUUUUCCUGAAAGAGUUCAAGGGAAACCCGAGUUUAGCUACUUCAUGACAUCUGGUGGUUCAAGUGUUUCACCUGAACAAAAUCCAACGCCAGUGGCCAUUCCUGCCCCUUCUCAUCGUCUUCCUCCUACUCCUCCGUCUUUUCCACAAGAAACUUACCCAGACUUGCUUCAUUAUGCACAAAUUCUUUCCAGCAACGAUGCAAAUUUCCCUUAUUACACUUCAACUCUCUUUAAUCAGCAGCAGCCUUAUGUGCCGCAUUAUCCAUCCAAUUUUUCAUCACAGCAGCAGCAGCAACAACAUCAGUUUCAACAGCAAGAUCCGAUGAGAUUCUCGCCAUGGUUCGAUAGCUCCUCUAGUUCUGAUUAUCAAGAACAUGAGGACUCUAGUAAACCAAGCGAGUAGUGUAUCUCUGGCUUCCUUAUUAAUUAAGGACUACAUUAGAAAAAUUAUAUAUAUGUAUCCAUCCAUUAUUAGUUAGGUAAUCUGAUCAGUCAGCAUCUUUGUUAUGGGAUUCCAUAAACAAGAGCUUCUAAGGAUUUUUGCUAUGUUUUUGAAGCUCUUCUGCAUUUACCGAUUUUUUAGAUGCAUGGGAUGACAGUUAUAUUAGUCACCCCAAGGAUCUCCUUCCAGUCUGCAUGAUCGUGGACUACUGUAGGAGAUUUUGGCUAGUGUUCCUUUUUUUAUUUUCCUAAAGUAUAUUUGCUUUGGCUAUUCCAAAGUCGAAAACGCUUUUGAAUUUUGUACUAAAGUAAUGAUGUUUGUAUGUGGACAACUCUUGGCAAAGUUGAAUGAGUUGGGG